AUUGAACGCUGGCGGCAUGCCUUACACAUGCAAGUCGAACGGUAACAGGUCUUCGGAUGCUGACGAGUGGCGAACGGGUGAGUAAUACAUCGGAACGUGCCUAGUAGUGGGGGAUAACUACUCGAAAGAGUGGCUAAUACCGCAUGAGAUCUACGGAUGAAAGCAGGGGAUCGCAAGACCUUGUGCUACUAGAGCGGCCGAUGGCAGAUUAGGUAGUUUGUGGGAUAAAAGCUUACCAAGCCGACGAUCUGUAGCUGGUCUGAGAGGACGAUCAGCCACACUGGGACUGAGACACGGCCCAGACUCCUACGGGAGGCAGCAGUGGGGAAUUUUGGACAAUGGGCGCGAGCCUGAUCCAGCAAUGCCGCGUGCAGGAUGAAGGCCUUCGGGUUGUAAACUGCUUUUGUACGGAACGAAAAGCCCUGGGUUAAUACCCUGGGGUCAUGACGGUACCGUAAGAAUAAGCACCGGCUAACUACGUGCCAGCAGCCGCGGUAAAAC
rnacentral:rRNA from 1 species